rnacentral:rRNA from 1 species
AUUGAACGCUGGCGGCAGGCCUAACACAUGCAAGUCGAGCGAGCGGCGGACGGGUGAGUAAUGUAUGGGAAUCUGCCUGAUGGAGGGGGAUAACUACGGGAAACGGUAGCUAAUACCGCAUACCAUCAGAUGAACCCAUAUGGGAUUAGCUAGUAGGUGAGGUAACGGCUUACCUAGGCGACGAUCCCUAGCUGGUCUGAGAGGAUGAACAGCCACACUGGGACUGAGACACGGCCCAGACUCCUACGGGAGGCAGCAGUGGGGAAUAUUGCACAAGGGGCGCAAGCCUGACGCAGCCAUGCCGCGUGUAUGAAGAAGGCCUGCGGGUUGUAAAGUACUUUCAGUGGGGAGGCGUUACCGACAGAAGAAGCACCGGCUAACUCCGUGCCAGCAGCCGCGGUAAUUC